AAGCUCGUAGUUGAAUUUCGGGAUUAGUACGUUGGUCGUGCCUUAGGUACGUACUGGUGUUACUGGUUCCUACCUUCUGACGAACCAUCAUGUCAUUAAUUUGGUGUGGUGGGGAAUCAGGACUGUUACUUUGAAAAAAUUAGAGUGUUUAAAGCAGGCUCGCGCUUGAAUACAUUAGCAUGGAAUAAUGAAAUAGGACGUUGAUCCUAUUUUGUUGGUUUCUAGGAUUGACGUAAUGAUUAUAGGGAUAGUUGGG
rnacentral:rRNA from 1 species